rnacentral:rRNA from 1 species
CCCUUAGAUGUUCUGGGCGGCACGCGUGCUACACUGAUUAUUUCAACAAGUGUUUUAACUGGAGAGUUCGCGUAAUCCUGAAAUGUUAUCGUGAUGGGAGUAGAGUAUUGUAUUUGUUAAUCUUUAACGAGGAAUUCCUAGCAAGUGUAGGUUUAUAAGUUGUUCUGAUUACGUCCCUGCCCUUUGUACACACCGCCCGUCGCUCCUACCGAUUGAUUGAUCCGGUGAAUUACAUAGAAUUUUGCGUUUUACAUGACGGAAGACGAAGUGUUUUAAACCUUAUCAUUUAGAGGAAGGAGAAGUCGUAACA